rnacentral:rRNA from 1 species
GACGAAGGAUGCAAGCGUUAUCCGGAUUCAUUGGGUUUAAAGGGAGCGUAGGUGCCUUAUAAGUCAGUGGUGAAAUCUCUGGGCUUAACCCAGAAAUUGCCAUUGAUACUGUAGGGCUUGAGUAUAGUUCCGUUGGCGGAAUAUGACAUGUAGUGGUGAAAUACAUAGAGAUGUCAUAGAACACCGAUUGCGAAGCAGCUAACGAAACUAUAACUGACACUGAAGGCUCGAAAGUGCGGGGAUCAAACAGGA